GAUGAAGAACGUAGCGAAAUGCGAUAAGUAGUGUGAAUUGCAGAAUUCAGUGAAUCAUCGAAUCUUUGAACGCACAUUGCGCCCCUCGGUAUUCCGUGGGGCAUGCCUGUUCGAGCGUCAUCUACACCCUCAAGCUCUGCUUGGUGUUGGGCGUCUGUCCCGCCUCCGCGCGUGGACUCGCCCCAAAUUCAUUGGCAGCGGUCCUUGCCUCCUCUCGCGCAGCACAUUGCGCUUCUUGAGGGGCUCCGGUUCGCGUCCAACAAGCACAUUUACCGUCUUUGACCUCGGAUCAGGUAGGGAUACCCGCUGAACUUAAGCAUAUCAUAAGCGGAGGA
rnacentral:misc_RNA from 1 species